CCUACGGGAGGCAGCAGUGGGGAAUAUUGGUCAAUGGGCGUAAGCCUGAACCAGCGAAGUCGCGUGAGGGAUGAAGGUUCUAUGGAUCGUAAACCUCUUUUGUAGGGAAGUAAGGUGUGGGACGUAUCCUGUUGUGUAUGUACCUUAUGAGUAAGGAUCGGCUAACUCCGUGCCAGCAGCCGAGGUAAUACGGAGGGUCCGAGCGUUAUUCGGAUUUGUUGGGUUUAAAGGGUUCGUAGGCGGCCUGUUAAGUCAAGGGUGAAAGUCUGUGGCUCAACCAGAGAACUGCCGUUGAAACUGGCAGGCUGGAGUGUGUGUGAGGCAGGCGGAAUGCGAGGUGUAGCGGUGAAAUGCUUAGAUAUCACGCAGAACCCCGAUGGCGAAGGCAGCCUGCUAAGCCAUGACUGACGCUGAGGCACGAAAGCGUGGGGAUCAAACAGGAUUAGAUACCCUUGUAGUC
rnacentral:rRNA from 1 species